GCCUGUGGUCCCAGGUACCUGGAGGCUGAGGCAGGAGGACUGUUUAAGUCCAGAAGUUCUGAGUUAUAGUGCGCUAUGCCAAUUGGGUAUCCACACUAAGUUUGGCAUCAGUAUAGUGACCUUCUGAGAGCAAGAGACCACACCAGGUUGCCUAAGGAGAGGUGAACUGCCCAGAUUGGAAACAGAGCAGGUAAAAACUCUUGUGUUGAUAAGUAGUGGUACUGUGCCUGUGAAUAACACUGCACUCCAGCCUGGGCAACAUAGCAAGACACUAUCUCUU
rfam:Pan troglodytes isolate Yerkes chimp pedigree #C0471 (Clint) chromosome 22, whole genome shotgun sequence.